ensembl:snoRNA SNORD36 Small nucleolar RNA SNORD36
UUGCAAUGAUGUGAAUCUCUCACUGAAUUUAACCUUAAAGUGGGAAUCCAGAGCUUUUUAACCCUGAGCAGU